CUCGGGGGAGGGGGGGCUCCCUCAUCCUGGAUUGCAAGAGGGCACAGGCCAGGCUAAGGGACCCCACUGGUGCACA
rnacentral:pre_miRNA from 1 species